CGGGGAGGAGCAGGCGGCGCGCGUGCGCAGAUAACACUCUCUGUCGGCCACCGUAGCUCGCGCUGUCACGUGGGAGCCCAGUAGUUAUGGCGGCCGUCAGGAAGCCUGUACUGCUGGGACUUCGAGACACGGCGGUGAAGGGCUGCCCCAAAGGGCCCUCCGCCUGGACCUCUAGCAAGCUGGGUGGCGUUCCGGACGCCCUGCCGGCCGUUACCACUCCGGGGCCGCAGUGUGGCCGCUGCGCACAGCCGCUCACGCUCGUCGUGCAGGUGUACUGCCCGCUGGACGGCUCCCCGUUCCAUCGGCUUCUGUACGUGUUCGCCUGUGCUCGUCCAGGCUGCGGCAACAGCCAGACGCGCAGCUGGAAGGUGUUCCGUUCCCAGUGCCUGCAAGUGCCAGAGAAAGAGACUUGGAACGCGCAGAAUCAGAGCGAUAGCCUUGCAGCUGAGAAUUGGUGUGAAGGCUCACAAGACUGGGGAAGUGACACUGAGGAGACGCCUCCACCACCCGCCUCAGAUUUGGGAAGUGACUCUAAUGAUGUCAGAGCACUAGACUGGACUGAGAAGCUCCAAGCUCUUCGCCUUCAGGACACUGCCCUGGCUGUUACCUGCCCUUCUCCUUCAGGGGAAGGGCUGACAGUCCCCACUGCAGUGCCACAGUUCCAGCCCUAUUAUAUCUGUGUUGCUGAAGAGGAGGAUUAUGGCAGCGUUGUGGAUCUUGAUCAUGCGCACAGCCUUCUGCAGGAGUACCAGCGGAGAGAAGGGGUGGACAUGGAGCAGCUGCUUUCCCUAGGCUCUAGUGACGGGGAUGAAAAGUACGAGAAGACCACAGUUAGCAGUGGGGAUCCAACGUUUUAUAGGUUCAUGAAGAGAAUUGCUGCUUGCCAGGAGCAGAUUUUGAGUUACCUUGGACUCCUGGAUGAGCAGUCUUUGAGGAUUGAUGGCCCUUCCAGAUGAGAGUGAGGGUGAGGCUGUACCCUGCACUGAAGUGAUCCUCUGAGACCUGCUCUGCCCCUAAGCAAAAGAGGACUCUUCCAGACCUCCAUGUAUGAGCAGGACAGUUUCAACAAGGUGGCAUGUUGCUAAGUAAGCAGUAAAUAGGCAGGUACGACUCUUCAGUCCAGUCUGGUCUACAUAGUGUGCUCCAGGCCAGCAUCUACACACUGAGACCCUGUCUCAAAUAUAACAGAAUAGUAGUUAUGGAAAGCACAAAAAGGAGAUAACACAUUAGGAAGAGUAUCAUAUAAAGGGGCUCAGUGACCCCAAGCACCUCUUUAUGGCCUUUGAUGGCACUGAGCCAAGUGGUAACAAGUCUUCAGUCCCCUCGAUGCUCUCCAGUCACUGCCUUGCCCCUGGGGUGGGUUUCCCUGCUGUCUAGUCCUAAUCCUGAUGCUGUACCAUGGCCCAGAUGCUGAUUUGCUCUGAUGAAUGAUUCUCCCGCUGCUUGCCCUAGGUAUUCGUGGAGUGGAGAGCCUCUCUUUCUGUCCUGCCCCACAUUUGAAGUCUCUGAGGUCCCAGCCUGCAGUGGCUGUGGAGGCCAGAGGACGUUUGAGUUUCAGCUUAUGCCAGCACUGGUCAGCAUGCUCAGCAGUGCUAAUCUAGGUCUUGCCGUGGAAUUUGGAACGAUUCUCGUUUACACAUGUAAACAGAGUUGCUGGCCUCCAAAUCAGCAGAUGCCCAUGGAAGAAUUCUGUGUUCUACAAGAAGACCCAGAUGAAUUUUUAUUUAAGUAGAACACUUUGUCUUAUUUAUACAAAUUAAAGCAAAUUUUCAUA